UUCUCAUGUUUAAAAAUAGUUAAAAGUCUGUGCCAUUCAGUCAGAUUCCCUUCAGGAGGCUUGUGCUAAUCUCUGUCUUUGGGCUACAUUUGUGUGCGUGAUGAAUAUCUAUGAGAAUUCUUGACUGGAAAAGGUUGACUGUGAGGGUCGGUCCCUUUUAUUCCUUACUAAUCCCUGAGAUUAGUAAGGAAUAAAACAUAACAGGACAUGCAGUUAUAGAAAAUUAAUCACAAAGCAAAAGACCAAAGGUGAUUAAUUUCCACCCCAAAGGAGAUGAUUUUCCAAUAACAGCACAUCCCAAAGUGUCUUCCUCUGAUCCCACAGUCAUUUGCCAACAAUUAAAUUCUUCUAUUAAUUAAAGUAUGAUUCCGUGCAUUUUACCCACUGAUAGUUAUGCUUAACUUUCUGGAAUGGUCAUGAAACACAUUACACGGCCUGUUAUAACUUUUACUUAUUACUUUCUAUAUUAUAACAGCUACUUCACAUCUUUUUUCCCUCUCUUGAAGUUAAUAAGACAAAAAAAAAUGCAGCUCGCCAAAGCUUAAAGUUUUUCAGAUGUCAGAAAACUGAAAAUUAUAACUUUAUCUCUGGAUGUUACAAAGAGCUGACACUGGAGACUCCUUCCAAAAGCUCUAUGUAAAUGUUUCCUCUCAGAAAACUUCACCUUACAAGUUCACCAAUAUCUGAUAUGGUUGAUAUGAUAAUGAACUAUUACAAACUUUCAUGUGACAUCUCUGCCAUAAGUCCCUGUGUAAGUUGUUACUUUAGAACGUAUAAUACAUUAAUAUAAACCUUGCAGCUUGAGCUAUUGUCGCACCUGUGCUGUUAUAGAAAAGCAGUCAACACCUGGAUGGCUGUGGCAUGUUGUCUACUAAUCAUAGGGUUGGUGGUUCGAUUCCUGGCCCACAUGAAUUCCACAUGCCGAAGUGUCCUCCAAGACACUGAACUCCAAGUUGCUCCCAAUGGCAAGCUAGUGCCUUGCAUGGCAGCUCUGCAGCCAUUGGUGUGUGUGUAAAUGUUCUGCACUUAUAUAGCGCUUUUUUAACCUUAGCAGUUCUACAAAGGACUUUACACUGUCUCAUUCACCCAUUCACACACACACUCACCAAUGGUAGCAGAGCUGCCAUGCAAGGUGCUACCGUGCCAUCGAGAGCAACUUGGGAUUCAGUGUCUUGCACAAGGACACUUCAGCAUGUGGAGUCACGUUGGCCGGAAAUCGAACCGCCAACCCUAUGAUUAGUGGACAACCCACUCUACCACCUGAUCCCCAGCUGUGUGAGUGUGUGUGUGAGUGUGUGUGAAUGGGUGAAUGAGAACCAGUGAAAAGCGAUUUGUAGAACCGCUAUAUAAGUGCAGACCAUUUACCAUUAACCAACACCUUCUGACCAAUUAGAAUCAAGCAUUCAACACUGCUAUAUGGUAUAAUUAUAAUAAUGAUAGAAUAUGGAAGAUGGUGGCAGAGCACAAAUGGGGUGGUGGUUUUCAGUUUGAUCUUGAAAGUGGACAAAGCAGUCAUUGUGUGAACUACUAUUCUAAAGUCUAGGGUUAAUAUAAUUGAAGAUAAGAUUAGAUUCGUUUAAGAAAUAAUGUGAAACAGACUGCAGGUGUCUGCAAACAGUGAAAGGGCAAGCUAUGGUUGUGGGUUCUGCCUACUGUUGUUUCCUGUAAGAAUACACACGCUCACUUGUGACAGGCACCACACCAUUGUUGUUUCCUGCAGACAAGACAGCAGUUAAACAAGAGCGAUUUACAUCUCCAAAAAAAGAAGCCGCUACUCUCUCUGUCUCUCUCUCUCGCUAAUUCCUGCUCUCAUUCUUUCCUAUCUCUCCCACUUAGUCUGUCACACCCUCCACAUUUGAGUGCAUCUCUGCUUAUUCGCUCUUUCUUUCAGCUUCAUUACGCCAGAUAAUGAAGCACAGACACUGUUCCCACAAUGUGCAGAGGAAUGAGUGCAACAAACCCAAGAGAAAUGAUAUUUCCUUCUCUGUGCAUGUGUAUUAUGAAAGUAAUGACUCUAGUGUGAGGGAAAUAAAUUGGUGCUGGAAGCCUUAAUAGGAUGUCUGCAUGUAUCCUCAAGUUCAAGCCCCUGGACCACUAGACACAAAACAGCUCCAAAGCAUCACUGAACUACCGCCAUAUCAUACAGCAUGUAUCAUGUGCAUUUCUUCGUAAGCAGUCCACAUAUUUUACCAUGUGCAGAGGGGGUGCAUGGUCAAAAAAUUAAUAUCUGAUCUCAUCUGACCGGAACACAUGAUUCCAAGUUCACAUCCAAUGACAUUUUACAAACAGGUUGUUUUUAUGGAAGGGGCACCACCUUCACUCUUCUCACUGUGCGGGGAGCUGUAUGCUCAUAACAUCCAAGUUUGUAACUGUUCCAUAAUAGUUUUAUUCUUGCUUAAUGCUAUAUUUACCUGCUCAUGUUUUUUUUUUGUUUGUUUUUUUUAAAUACUCAUUACCUUGUGCAGAUUAACCCCUGCAUGUUUCUUUUGAAUUAAAAAAAUCUGAUUUUCCCGCAAUGAAGAUGAAUAACAAAAGGAUUUUACAGAUAAACAAGAGAUAGGUCAAUAGCAUUAAUUUUUUGUUGAGUAAAAGCAAUUCAAAUUAACCAAAUGAAUCUCAUUCUAAAACUAUUUUUGUUAGAGGAAAGGAAAAUAGCUUCCACUGUCAUUAAUGGGGAAAUUUUCAAUUUGUGACUAUUAUGUUUAUUUCAAUACAGUAUUCGACACACACACACACACACACACUAACCUAAAUGAUAUAAUUUAGAGAUGAUUGUAGUAUAUAAGGCAGGUAAUGUUAACAUGUGAAUAUAUGCCUCACAUUACUGAUGUGCCCAAACUGAUGCUGUGUUAACUUAUGUAUGAUGUGAUUAAAAAAACAAACAAACAACA